CAAAAACAAACCCAGGCGAAACGUGUAUUGGAUUUUUUUCUUAAAAUUGUGUGUUUCUUCGUCACCGUGAGAAGGUUUAUCAUGGCCGAUUCCGAGAGGUUGUGUUUGAGUAUUUUUCUUGGGCUCUUCCUUCUAUCCCUUCCACUUGCAACCUCUAUGGACCUUCCAAAAGAAGAAGAAGCAGAAAACGGAUGCCUUCGUCCUUGCGCGUGUAACCCAUUGCCUACAAAAGUAUACGCACCACCUGAUGGUUGGUGGAUUGUGUCUGUGUUAUCUAUUGUCACUGUCUUAACAGUGACAUUUGGCUUGUCAAAAAUCAUAUACGCGGUACGUCCAGCUCCAACAGUAGUCAGAAACAACGAAUUAUCUGAAGCUGAAAGAUUGGAAGAGAGAAACAGAAACUUUGAAAAAUACUAUGAGUUACUGAGGAAUACUACGCACGAAGUUCCUAUCUUUAGAGGAAGAAUCUAAAUCCUUGUCAUAAAAGAGCUUGCCAUGGAAUAUCUUUUGGUAUCAAUUGGAACUCAAUCAUGUGUUACUUUUAAAUCCUUACCAUCAUCUCACUCUUUUACCUACGCUUUUGUAGAAAUCUCUAUUGCUGGGAUUCUUUUCUUUAAGAAGAUUUAAAAGUUAUAUGAUACAGCUUUUGUCUUA